rnacentral:rRNA from 1 species
AGAGUUUGAUUCUGGCUCAGGAUGAACGCUAGCUACAGGCUUAACACAUGCAAGUCGAGGGGCAGCAUGGUCUUAGCUUGCUAAGGCCGAUGGCGACCGGCGCACGGGUGAGUAACGCGUAUCCAACCUGCCUUACACUCUUGGACAGCCUUCUGAAAGGGAGAUUAAUACAAGAUGUUAUCAUGAGUAAGCAUUUUCACAUGAUUAAAGGUUUACCGGUGUAAGAUGGGGAUGCGUUCCAUUAGAUAGUAGGCGGGGUAACGGCCCACCUAGUCUUCGAUGGAUAGGGGUUCUGAGAGGAAGGUCCCCCACAUUGGAACUGAGACACGGUCCAAACUCCUACGGGAGGCAGCAGUGAGGAAUAUUGGUCAAUGGACGAGAGUCUGAACCAGCCAAGUAGCGUGAAGGAUGAAGGUUCUAUGGAUUGUAAACUUCUUUUAUACGGGAAUAAACGAAUCCACGUGUGGAUUUUUGCAUG